rnacentral:rRNA from 1 species
AGUGAACGCUGGCGGCAGGCCUAACACAUGCAAGUCGAACGGCAGCACAGUAAGAGCUUGCUCUUACGGGUGGCGAGUGGCGGACGGGUGAGGAAUACAUCGGAUUCUACUUUUUCGGGGGGGAUAACGUAGGGAAACUUACGCUAAUACCGCAUAUGACCUACGGGUGAAAGCAGGGGAUCGUCGGACCUUGUGCGAUUGAAAGAGCCGAUGUCGGAUUAGCUAGUUGGCGGGGUAAAGGCCCACCAAGGCGACGAUCCGUAGCUGGUCUGAGAGGAUGAUCGGCCACACUGGAACUGAGACACGGUCCAGACUCCUACGGGAGGCAGCAGUGGGGAAUAUUGGGCAAUGGGGGAAAGCCUGAUCCAGCCAUACCGCGUGAGUGAUGAAGGCCUUCGGGUUGUAAAGCCCUUUUGUUGGGAGAGAAAAGCAGCAGGUUAAUACCCCGCUGUUCUGACGGUACCGAAAGAAUAAGCACCGGCUAACUUCGUG